UACGAAGGGGGCUAGCGUUGCUCGGAAUCACUGGGCGUAAAGGGUGCGUAGGCGGGUCUUUAAGUCAGGGGUGAAAUCCUGGAGCUCAACUCCAGAACUGCCUUUGAUACUGAAGAUCUUGAGUUCGGGAGAGGUGAGUGGAACUGCGAGUGUAGAGGUGAAAUUCGUAGAUAUUCGCAAGAACACCAGUGGCGAAGGCGGACUCACUGGCCCGAGUACUGACGCUGAGGCA
rnacentral:rRNA from 1 species